rnacentral:rRNA from 1 species
GACGAACGCUGGCGGCGUGCCUAAUACAUGCAAGUUGAGCGCUGAAGGUUGGUACUUGUACCGACUGGAUGAGCAGCGAACGGGUGAGUAACGCGUGGGGAAUCUGCCUUUGAGCGGGGGACAACAUUUGGAAACGAAUGCUAAUACCGCAUAAAAACUUUAAACACAAGUUUUAAGUUUGAAAGAUGCAAUUGCAUCACUCAAAGAUGAUCCCGCGUUGUAUUAGCUAGUUGGUGAGGUAAAGGCUCACCAAGGCGAUGAUACAUAGCCGACCUGAGAGGGUGAGCGGCCACAUUGGGACUGAGACACGGCCCAAACUCCUACGGGAGGCAGCAGUAGGGAAUCUUCGGCAAGGGACGAAAGUCUGACCGAGCAACGCCGCGUGAGUGAAGAAGGUUUUCGGAUCGUAAAACUCUGUUGGUAGAGAAGAACGUUGGUGAGAGUGGAAAGCUCAUCAAGUGACGGUAACUACCCAGAAAGGGACGGCUAACUACGUG